GGCUGAGUAGCUCAGUCGGCAGAGCAGCGGAAUCAUAAUCCGCGUGUCGUGGGUUCAAGUCCCUCCUCAGCCACCA
rnacentral:tRNA from 1 species